rnacentral:rRNA from 1 species
GACGAACGCUGGCGGCGUGCUUAACACAUGCAAGUCGAACGGUGAAGCGCUAUCAUCUUUGGUUGGUGUGGAUGAGUGGCGAACGGGUGAGUAACAAGUGAGUAACCUGCUUUUUUCUUCUGGAUAACCGCAUGAAAGUGUGGCUAAUACGGGAUAUUCUGUGUCUGUCGCAUGAUGGGUCUGGGAAAGAUAUCGUUUCGGUGGGGGAUGGGCUCGCGGCCUAUCAGGUUGUUGGUGGGGUGAUGGCCUACCAAGGCGGUGAGGAGUAGCUGGCCUGAGAGGGUGAGCGGUCACAGAAGUGCGACACGGCCGACCAUACUACGGCAGGAAGCAGUGGGGAAUAUUAGAGCACGAGGGGAGGAAGGAUCAAGCAACGACGCCUCGGUAGAGAUGGACGUCGGGUUGUUGAGAACCUCUUUCGGGAGAGAAGCGCACCUGGCUCAUACGUCGGUGUGUUGACGGUAGCUAAAGAAUAAGCACCGGCUAACUACGUG